UUGGUGCCCUGAAGAGCCGGUACCACAUUCUGGAUGGCCCACUUCCUCUGCGCCUGGUGAAGAGACUGCAGGGUGAGACAGAAGAGAGAAGAGGCCAUGAUUGAUAGGCUUGUGCAUGUCUGUGCAGCACUAAUGAACCUGUCUGGCAGUGUCAUGUACAACCGUUACAGAAUCUGAGAGUCCCUGAACUGAUCUCAGUGCUGCUCUGCUGCUGCAUACCCUGUCACCCUGCCUCUGUUGCCUGACACUCUGCCUCUGUUGCCUGACGCUCUGCCUCUGUUGCCUGACACUCUGCUUCUGUUGCCUGAUGUUCUGCUGCCACUUGUGUUGCCUGAUGGGUCACUCCCUGUGCUGCUUUCGACUGGACUGUGUUCUGCCUACUUAGCAGAAACAUAUACAGUGCUUAUCAUAAAUGAGUACACCCCCUUUGAAAAUAACACAAUAACAAUUUGAUCAACAUCACAAUAUCAACAAUUAUUAUCUGAUUAGUAUCAAAAUCACAAGUAUAGACAAUAUUGUACAGCCCAUUAUUCAUUCUAUUUGUAGCCUAUGUAUGUUUUCAUGUUGUAAAUAAAUGUAUAGGCUUUGUGAUAUUUGAUUUUGUACAUAUAGUCUAGUAGUCUAUGUUGAUACUAAAUAAAAUAGCUAUAAUAUGCUUCAAAAUGAAUUGGUAUAAAUAAAUAUGUAACUCUGUCACAGUGA